rnacentral:lncRNA from 1 species
AGGGAGUUUCAAAAGGGGAGGGAGUAUACAAAUAGGUGUGGGUGACAGACAUCAAGUACUUAACAGGAUAAUAGAAUAUCUCAAGGCAAGUGGAGACAGGGCGAGACCACAGGACCGAAGUGAAAUUAAAAUUGCUAAUGAAGUUUUGGCACCAUUGUCAUUGAUAACAUCUUAUCAGGAGACAGGGUUUUGAGAUCAACCGGUCUGACCAAAGUUUAUUAGGUGGGAAUUUUCUUUUCCUAAUAAGCCUGGGAGCGCUAUGGGAGACUGGAGUUUAUUUCAUCUCUGCAAUCUCGACCAUAAGAGACAGGUACGCCCCACGGGGCCAGUUCAGAGACCUACCCCUAGGUGCGCAUUCUCUUUCUCAGGGGCGUUCCAUGCUGAGAAAAGGAAUUCAGCGAUAUUUCUCCCAUUUGCUUUUGAAAGAAGAGAAAUAUGGUUCUGUUCUGCCCGGCUCACCGGCGGUCAGAGUUUAAGGUUAUCUCUCUUAUUCCCUGAACAAUUGCUGUGAUCCUGUUCUUUUUUCAGGG